rnacentral:rRNA from 1 species
GUGCGAGCGUGUCCGGAAUACUGGGCGUAAAGAGCUCGAUACGUGGUUUGUCGCGUUGUUCGUGAAAUCUCACGGCUUAACUGUGAGCGUGCGGGCGAUACGGGCAGACUUGAGUACUGCAGGGGAGACUGGAAUUCCUGGUGUAGCGGUGGAAUGCGCAGAUAUCAGGAGGAACACCGGUGGCGAAGGCGGGUCUCUGGGCAGUAACUGACGCUGAGGAGCGAAAGCGUGGGGAGCGAACAGGAUUAGAUACCCUGGUAGUCCACGCCGUAAACGGUGGGUACUAGGUGUGGGUUUCCUUCCUUGGGAUCCGUGCCGUAGCUAACGCAUUAAGUACCCCGCCUGGGGAGUACGGCCGCAAGGCUAAAACUCAAAGAAAUUGACGGGGGCCCGCACAAGCGGCGGAGCAUGUGGAUUAAUUCGAUGCAACGCGAAGAACCUUACCUGGGUUUGACAUGCACAGGACGCCGGCAGAGAUGUCGGUUCCCUUGUGGCCUGUGUGCAGGUGGUGCAUGGCUG